rnacentral:tRNA from 1 species
GGAGGGAUACCCAAGCGGCCAAAGGGGGCGGGCUGUAAACCCGCUGGCUGACGCCUACGGAGGUUCAAAUCCUCCUCCCUCCA